AGAGUUUGAUCCUGGCUCAGGGACGAACGCUGGCGGCGUGCUUAACACAUGCAAGUCGAACGCUGANNNNNNUUCGGUGGGGGAGAGUGGCGAACGGGUGNNUAACACGUGGGCAACCUGCCCCCGGCUCUGGGAUAACUCCAAGAAAUUGGGGCUAAUACCGGAUAUCCACGGCUGGCCGCAUGGUCUGNNGGUGGAAAGGGUUUCCGGCUGGGGAUGGGCCCGCGGCCUAUCAGCUUGUUGGUGGGGUAGUGGCCUACCAAGGCGACGACGGGUAGCCGGCCUGAGAGGGUGACCGGCCACACUGGGACUGAGACACGGCCCAGACUCCUACGGGAGGCAGCAGUGGGGAAUAUUGCGCAAUGGGCGGAAGCCUGACGCAGCGACGCCGCGUGGGGGAUGACGGCCUUCGGGUUGUAAACCUCUUUCAGCAGGGACGAAGCGCAAGUGACGGUACCUGCAGAAGAAGCACCGGCCAACUACGUGCCAGCAGCCGCGGUAAUACGUAGGGUGCAAGCGUUGUCCGGAAUUAUUGGGCGUAAAGAGCUCGUAGGCGGUUGGUCGCGUCGGCUGUGAAAACCCGGAGCUCAACUCCGGGCCUGCAGUCGAUACGGGCCGACUUGAGUGUUGCAGGGGAGACUGGAAUUCCUGGUGUAGCGGUGAAAUGCGCAGAUAUCAGGAGGAACACCGGUGGCGAAGGCGGGUCUCUGGGCAACAACUGACGCUGAGGAGCGAAAGCGUGGGGAGCGAACAGGAUUAGAUACCCCAGUAGUCC
rnacentral:rRNA from 1 species